CAGCAGCCGCGGUAAUACGUAGGGGGCGAGCGUUACCCGGAUUCACUGGGCGUAAAGGGGGUGUAGGCGGCUCGGUAAGUCGGGUGUGAAAUCCCACGGCUCAACCGUGGAAUUGCGCCCGAAACUGCCGAGCUUGGGGCCGGUAGAGGGAGACGGAACUGCCGGUGUAGGGGUGAAAUCCGUAGAUAUCGGGAGGAACACCAGUGGCGAAGGCGGCCUCCUGGCCCGCUCCUGACGCUGAGACCCGAAAGCGUGGGGAGCAAACCGGAUUAGAUACCCGGGUAGUCCACGCCGUAAACGGUGGGCACUAGGUGUGGGGGGUUAAUCCCUCCGUGCCGAAGCUAACGCAUUAAGUGCCCCGCCUGGGGAGUACGGCCGCAAGGUUGAAACUUAAAGGAAUUGGCGGG
rnacentral:rRNA from 1 species